rnacentral:tRNA from 1 species
GCCCGGGUAGCCCAACUGGCAGGAGGCGCGCCGUUCAGGCCGGCGACAGUGUGCGUUCGAAUCGCACCCCGGGCA